UAUGUCAGUCAUGUGCAGUUCAUUGGCUUGCUUUAAACAAUAAGUAAUUUUAACAUUUGAACAGGGACUUGCGACUGCUUCCAUGGGUUUGACAGAGCAUUUCUGAGGGACGAGGAAUAGACAAUAUGCAGAUAGACGCCUUGGACGUGCGACACAAAAUAAUGAAUAUGAAUCGGAGCCAAUUUACGUGGUAAAAGCCAACAGAACAAGCCUUACGAGAGUAAACCCCGUGCGAAAAGACAGAGAAAAUGUUUGCGAACUACUUCUGAGCAUCCCCAAGAGUGUAUAUGAUCAGAACAACAGGAGAUGUACUAACAGUGCUAGCUUUACUGUGCCAGCGGUUCACCAGUAGUGCUAGCGAUGUUUGCAGAUAAGCGUGCUGGCCAAACAGGAAGGGGUAUGUCAUUUCUCUCAGGUUUAGCAGGGCAAUGCACGGUCUUCUUUUCCUUUUCCCAGCCCCAUGCGCUUGCUAGCCAGGCUAUACUUGCUAAGCAGGCGAAUGUGGCAAAAAAGUAGGUUGUGGGAUUGCUGUAAGACUUUCUAUUAAGGCAAAUUGGUGUUUACAUUCCGCGAGCAUUGGACCAUCUUAACGCGUCUGCUCUUGAGAUGGCAAGACCACGAGAAUUUUCAUCAAUAACCGCGCUAGCACAAUUCAUUUUUAAACGCAUGCCGCGGUAGCAGCUGAGAUGUUCACAGAAUAAAAAACCUCGGGACCAGUUGAUGUCUUAGAACUUUGCUGUCUACGCUUCUGAAAAACAAACAACUUACUUAGUCAACUUCGCAUGAGAAGGUUGAAUUUCAAAUCUUGAAAUCCUAAGAACAUGUCGAUCUUCCUGUUAAGUUUCAAAGUUGAAAGUUUAAAAGCUUGAAUAAUAUGCUACACUAAUUAAAAAAAGAUGUUGACAAUUAUUUUCUUGAUUCAUUUUCAGAGUUUCAACAAAUUCCAAAAUAUUUGAAGAAAUACUGCACUAAUCUAACAAAAAAAAAAUAACAUAGGAUAUUAUUCAAUAUUUUCUUUAUUUUUCUGUGCUUUACAGAAAAGUCAAACGCCUAAAAGUUUAAUUACCAUAAAAAACAUCAAAAUAAAUAUAACAUUAUCAUUUUCACAUGUACAUGUCUCCUUUGCAGCAGUCCGCGUUCGACAGUCGCGAAAGCGUUCCAAUCGUCCCAAGUACGUGCUAUAACACGAACAAAAGUGGAAUUUAUAAACAUUCGUGGGAAAACAAAUUUUAAUCCCUAAAAGGCAGAGAAUGUUCUAGGCUGGCCGAAUAAAUUAGCAAAAAAAAAAAUAUUAUUAAUAUGUGGAUAUGUCUGAUACAUAAGUUUUGGAAAAUAAAUCACGGAAAUCUAGAAAUUACUCGCAAUAUGAGUAAAGUCAUGGGCUCUUUUUUGAAUAAGACCUUUUUUUAAAUAAAAACGCCCAGUAAACUUAAAUAAACCUUUUUCUUCUUAAUGCCCACAGCACACGAUAUCAAUCUAGUACAAAGCGUGGUGAAAGCGAUAUCUAAAUUGUCAUUUGAUGUAAUUCAGUAUCUAAACAUUGCUACAUAUUGGCUCAAUAUUUAUCUGUAUACUAUCACUGCUUUUUUUUUUGGGGGGGGAGGGGGAGUCAGCCACAAAAUACUGUAUAUUUAGUAACGGAAAAUACUACGUUCUUUUUAAAAAAAGAGAGUAUAUGAUCAGAGCAAGAAGAAGA